rnacentral:tRNA from 1 species
GAAGCUACAGCUCAGUGGUAGAGUGCGUGCUUAGCAUGCACAAGGUACUGGGUUCAAUUCCCAGAACCUCCA